rnacentral:rRNA from 1 species
UAGGGAAUAUUGGUAAUGUGCGAAAGCGCGAACCAGCAACGCCGCGUGCACGAUGAAGGCCUUCGGGUCGUAAAGUGCUUUUAGAGAGGAUGAGGAAGGACAGUACUUUCUGAAUAAGCCUCGGCUAACUACGUGCCAGCAGCCGCGGUAAAACGUAGGAGGCUAGCGUUAUCCGGAUUUACUGGGCGUAAAGCGCAUGCAGGUGGUUUUGUAAGUUGGAUGUGAAAGCUCCUGGCUUAACUGGGAGAGGUCGUUCAAAACUACAAGACUUGAGAUUGGUAGAGGAAAAUGGAAUUCCGGGUGUAGUGGUGAAAUGCGUAGAUAUCCGGAGGAACACCAGUGGCGAAAGCGGUUUUCUGGACCAAUUCUGACACUCAGAUGCGAAAGCUAAGGUAGCAAAC